GUGGCUAGGGGUGAAAGGCCAAUCAAACUCGGAGAUAUCUGGUUCUCGUCGAAAUGCCUUUAGGGGCAGCGUUACAUUAGUGUAUCGGGGGUAGAGCACUGAUUGGGCUAGGGGGCCUACAAGCUUACCAAACCCUAUCAAACUCCGAAUACCGAAUACAUGUUGUGUAGCAGUGAGGCUAUGGGAGAUAAGUUUCAUAGCCAAGAGGGAAACAACCCAGAUCAUCAGCUAAGGUCCCUAAAUUGAUACUAAGUGAUAAAGGAUGUGGAAUCGCCCAGACAGCUAGGAGGUUGGCUUAGAAGCAGCCAUCCUUUAAAGAAAGCGUAAUAGCUCACUAGUCAAGGGGUUCUGCGCCGAUAAUUUCCGGGACUAAGUAUCAUACCGAAGCUAUGGGAUUUAUUCUUUAUGAAUAAAUCGGUAGACGAGCGUUCUAUUAACCUGUGAAGGUUGACCCGUGAGGGCAGCUGGAGGAGAUAGAAAUGAGUAUGCUGGAAUGAGUAGCGAUAAAGCCUGUGAAAUACAGGCUCGCCGUAAGCCCAAGGUUUCCUGAGUAAAGUUAAUCUUCUCAGGGUUAGUCGGACCCUAAGCCGAGGCCGAAAGGCGUAGGCGAUGGAAAACAGGUUUAAUAUUCCUGUACCAGUUUAAUAUUGUUUGAACUAUGGGGGGACGCAGAAGUGAAAGGAGAUCCCGGUUUUGAUUGUCCGGGUUUAAGAGCGUAGGAAGUUUUAGUAGGUAAAUCCGCUGAAACAAUUCCGAGACUCGAAUAGGAGGGCCUAGCCCAUAAACUCUCCCUAAUCAUGCUGUCAAGAAAAUCCUCUAUGUUAGAUAUUAAUCUGUCCGUACCGUAAACGGACACACGUAGGCGAGGAGAGAAUCCUAAGGCGCUUGAGAGAAUCCAAGUAAAGGAACUCGGCAAAUUAGCCCCGUAACUUCGGGAGAAGGGGUGCCACUUAAGGAGAAGAGCAUACGCUCCUAUUUUUGAGUGGCCGCAGUGACCAGGCCCAAGCGACUGUUUACUAAAAACACAGGUCUCUGCUAAGUCGUAAGACGAUAUAUAGGGACUGACACCUGCCCGGUGCUGGAAGGUUAAAUGGAGAGGUUAGCUUCGGCGAAGCUUUGAAAUGAAGCCCCAGUAAACGGCGGCCGUAACUAUAACGGUCCUAAGGUAGCGAAAUUCCUUGUCGGGUAAGUUCCGACCUGCACGAAUGGUGUAACGAUUUGGGCACUGUCUCUACUUGGAGCUCAGCGAAAUUGAAGUGUCGGUGAAGAUGCCGGCUACCCGCGGCCGGACGAAAAGACCCCGUGAACCUUUACUACAACUUAUCAUUGAAUACUGAUUCUGCACGUGCAGGAUAGGUGGGAGACUUUGAAGCAGUAACGUCAGUUAUUGUGGAGUCAUCCUUGAAAUACCACCCUUGUUUUGUUAGUAUUCUAAUCUCAUCCCGUGAAUCCGGGUGAGAGACAGUGGUAGGUGGGUAGUUUGACUGGGGCGGUCUCCUCCCAAAAAGUAACGGAGG
rnacentral:rRNA from 1 species